rnacentral:rRNA from 1 species
GACGAACCGAGCGAACGUUGUUCGGAAUCACUGGGCUUAAAGGGCGCGUAGGCGGGUGCUCAAGUCCGGGGUGAAAUCCCACAGCUCAACUGUGGAAUUGCCUCGGAUACUGGGUGUCUCGAGGGUGGUAGGGGUAUGCGGAACUAUCGGUGGAGCGGUGAAAUGCGUUGAUAUCGAUAGGAACUCCGGUGGCGAAGGCGGCAUACUGGACCACUUCUGACGCUGAGGCGCGAAAGCUAGGGGAGCAAACGGG